AGGGAGUAAUCUGAAAAUCCAUAAGAGUAGGAA
rnacentral:ncRNA from 1 species